rnacentral:lncRNA from 1 species
CCCGCCCCCCCGCUCUUCCUCCUCCUCCUCUUCCUCCUCCUCCUCCUCCCUCCGCCCUCGCCGGGGGAUGGGCUUGCCGGAGGCCCCGCCUCACGCCUCGGUGAGCCAAUCCUAGCCCGGCGGGGCCGAGCGGCAGCCCCGGAAGCCAAUGGGAGAAGCGGAUGCCUGAGAGGGCGUCCCGCGCGCCGCCCCCCCCCAGCCUGGGCUAGGGGGUUUGGGGGUGCGCCUGGCCAAGCUCCGGAGCAGUGUGUCGAAGGCUUCCAGUCCGGUUCCGAAUAGAGAUAGGAGGAAGGCUGAAGGGGUUCGCGUUCCCGGGUCCCCGCGCCCGGCCUUCCUGGGGAAGGGGUUUAGUACGCUCUGGGCGCGCCCCCGAAGCGGGGGAACGUGGCCCGGACGGGUUCGCGCCCAAGAGCAUCGCCGAAGGUUUGAAGAGAGAGCCGGAGUCCAGGAUGGCGGAGGAAAGGAGACCCCGCGAGGUGGUAGCACCAAGGAGCCGGGAGUCGGAGCCGAUAAGAGUGCAAGGCUACGGGAUCUAGGGGGCGACUGCCAGGAGCCUGGGCGUGGCCUGGGCACUCACCGAGUCUGUCCUAGCCAACCUUGGCGGCGCCCCGGGACGCGGGUCGGCCGGGCCUGGCCGCCUCCGGGAGUCUGCUCUCGGGUGGAGCCGUGAAAUUCCCGGAAGCCCUGGGAAUCCGCGGCGGUGGCCGCUCCGCUUCCGCCGCGCCCGAGGGACAUCUGGCUUCCCGCGUCCGCGCGCAGGAUGUCUGGGGAGCGCCCAUUGGGUUCGAAGACCCAGGGCCCCCGGGGGAAGGCGGUGUACACAGUAGGUGCCCGAUGUGUGUGAGUUGAAUAAAUGAGCGAUCGAGACACUUAUGUGUGUGUUUUUAAGUAUUAGCAGUUAUCCUAGUCUCCUGGUGGUACUAUCCGUAGCAUUUUUUCAAUGUUUUAUUUAUAAAUGUAAUUGUGAGAGAUUCAAGGUUAAAGGCCCUCACAACAGAUCAAUCAGCUCCUGGCUCACAUCUUGGUUUUGCCACAUUUUUGCUGUGUGACGUUGAGUAAGUGACUAUCUCCCUGUGUCUCCAUUUCCUCAUCUCUAAAAUGCUGGUGAUAGGCCCACUGUGCAGGGUCAUAAGGAGGGAUGAGCUAGACAGGAAGUAUUAGGUAAGUGCUGGUCACUGAUGGUGACUAUGUAAAAUAAAAAACUAUAAAUCCCACAUGCGAACACAUUAUGGUUGCCCCAAACAGAGCAGUAAAUCUCUAUUAGGCAGUGGUCAUCCACAGCCCCCUGCAGGUAGGUGGAGCCUUCAGGGAAACAGCAGCCUACACUCUUAGACCUUAUUUUUGUGUGGUCUGCCCCAAGUGCUUGAGCUGCACUAUUUGAGUCUUAACUGGAUGGUGAGCAGGUUUCUAAUCAGAAUUGGCCACAGGGGAGCAGCCUUAAGUGACCGGCAUGUAGAAACCCUUUGUUUACCGUGUAGAAAAACAAAACUGGCUCAUAAAGGGGAAGUAUUUUGCCCAAGGUCAUGCAGCUGUGCACAAUCGUGCAACACGGAAGUGUGGCCCAACCCUCAGCUGAAGGCUUCACUGUCCACUGGAACCAGACAUGGUGGUAUCAGAGUUGUCAGCUCCAAAGGACUCACUGGGGAUGGACAGGUUGAGAGUUAGACCUAAAGCACUGGGGCUAACUUUGCUUGAGUUUACUCGUACAGGAAAUACUUUUUGACUGGUGAGUGCCAGGGAUAUAGCAGUGCCUAGGUCAGUGAUGACAAACCUUUUAGAGACCACGUGCCCAAACUGCAACCCCAAACCCACUUAUUUAUCGCAAAGUGCCAACACUGCAAUUAAAUCUGAAUACUGAAGUUUUAGUUUCAAAAAAACAACUGUUAUCUGAUGCUCAGCUGCUGGGGCGACUUGGCUUGCUUGCCAGUGGAGGGCUCUGCCUGCCCGCUGCUGCAUGUGUGCCAUUGGUUCCCCAGUGCCCUAGGUCCUGCCUCCCACACAGCUCAGUCUGUUACCCCACACAAUGAGCAAGUAAGCGAAUAAAUUACUUAGCCUCAGUUUUCCCCCUUGGUCAUGCCCUACGAGUCCCAGGUUUCUUCAGUUGGUGCAUUGUAGUAUUGCCCUCAUCUGUAGAUGGUGCCUGGUGCUUAGUAAGUGCUCAAGAAAAUCCUGUUAAGCAUUCCCACCUCCUGCACCUUAGGGAUACACCUGACCUCUUAGGGGGAUAGAGCCUAAUAAGGCUGACAAAGCCCUCAGAGAUCCAAUGUCCAUCUUGUCUGCUCAGCCCUGACCCCUGGCAUCCUUGAAAGCCUGGCUAAGCUUCAGAGUUGAUGACAGGUGUUGUCAGAGCUGUUCUGGAAGCAGUGGGUGAGGUCUGAAGAAUAUUGUGUGCUCAGAGGCAGCAAAAGCAAUCACAGGAGCCAGUGUGGUUCUGCUGCUCUUUGGGGAUGACGACUUCCCUGCAAGAAUCAGAUGCAAGUUGUGAGUCCCAUGUUAAGAUUUAGCUGGAGCCAGG